GGAAGAUGGUGCCCCGGCCUUGGAGUAGCUCCCCAGGCCCGGGCGCUCGCCGCCUUAGUACCUGGAGUGACCCAGGUAGAUAACAAGUCCGGUUUCCUGCAGAAGAGGCCUCAUCGCCAGCACCCUGGCAUCCUAAAGCUGCCGCACGUGCGGCUGCCACAGGCACUGGCUAACGGUGCCCAGUUACUGCUACUUGGUGAGUAACGGCGGGAGAGCGAGAAGAAACGGGACUGGACCUACAUGCAAGUGAUUCCGCUUUUCAUCUUUGGCCCACAGAGAGCGCUGGGCCCACUAUGGAGAAUCAGGUGCAAACACUGACCAGUUAUCUCUGGAGCAGACAUUUGCCUAUAGAGCCAGAGGAGUUGCAAAGACGGGCUAGGCAUCUUGAGAAAAAAUUCCUGGAAAACCCAGACUUAUCUCAGACAGAGGAGAAACUUCGUGGAGCAGUGCUACAUGCACUACGUAAAACUACCUACCAUUGGCAAGAACUGAGCUACACUGAGGGACUGAGCCUGGUGUAUAUGGCAGCAAGACUGGAUGGUGGCUUUGCAGCAGUCUCCAGAGCAUUCCAUGAGAUCCGGGCUCGAAAUCCAGCAUUUCAGCCACAGACUUUGAUGGACUUUGGCUCAGGUACUGGUUCUGUCACCUGGUGAGUAACUUUCUUCAGCCCUAUCUUGGUCAAUUUUAGCUCUAGAAAGCCAUACUUACACCACUC
rnacentral:sRNA from 1 species